UGUGAAAGCCCCGUGCUCAACGCGGGGAGGCCAAGCGAUACUGCGUGACUUGAGGCCGGAAGAGGGGAGUGGAAUUCCCGGUGUAGCGGUAAAAUGCGCAGAUAUCGGGAGGAACACCAGUGGCGAAGGCGGCUCCCUGGACCGCACCUGACGCUCAGAGGCGAAAGCUAGGGGAGCGAACAGGAUUAGAGACCCUGGUAGUCCUAGCCCUAAACGCUGGAUGCUAGGUGUAGGGCUGAUGAGGCUCUGUGCCGGAGCGAACGCGAUAAGCAUCCCGCCUGGGAACUACGGCCGCAAGGCUAAAACUCAAACGAAUUGACGGGGACCCGCACAAGCAGCGGAGCGUGUGGUUUAAUUCGAUGCUACACGAAGAACCUUACCUGGGUUUGACAUGCUGGUGGUACCGAACCGAAAGGGGAGGGACCCUUCGGGGAGCCAACACAGGUGCUGCAUGGCUGUCGUCAGCUCGUGCCGUGAGGUGUCGGGUUAAGUCCCGUAACGAGCGCAACCCUUGCUCUUAGUUAUACGUGUCUAAGGGGACUGCCGGCGACAAGCCGGAGGAAGGUGGGGAUGACGUCAAGUCAGCAUGGCCUUGAUAUCCAGGGCUACACACACGCUACAAUGGCCGGUACAAAGGGCAGCCAAGCCGCGAGGUGGAGCGAAUCCCAGCAAAGCCGGUCCCAGUUCGGAUUGCAGGCUGCAACCCGCCUGCAUGAAGUUGGAGUUGCUAGUAACCGCGCGUCAGCCAUAGUGCGGUGAAUACGUACCCGGGUCUUGUACACACCGCCCGUCACGUCAUGGGAGUUGGCAACGCCUGACAGCGGUAGCCUAACCGAAAGGAAGGCGCCGACUAAGGCGGGGCUAGCGACUGGGACGA
rnacentral:rRNA from 1 species